GACGAACGCUGGCGGCGUGCUUAACACAUGCAAGUCGAACGGAAAGGCCCUGCUUGCAGGGUACUCUAGUGGCGAACGGGUGAGUAACACGUGGGUGAUCUGCCCUGCACUUCGGGAUAAGCCUGGGAAACUGGGUCUAAUACCGGAUAGGAGCCAUUUUGAGUGUGAUGGUUGGAAAGUUUUUUCGGUGUAGGAUGAGCUCGCGGCCUAUCAGCUUGUUGGUGGGGUAAUGGCCUACCAAGGCGGCGACGGGUAGCCGGCCGGAGGGGGUGGACGGCCACAUUGGGACUGGGAUACGGCCCAGACUCCUACGGGGGGCAGCAGUGGGGAAUAUUGCACAAUGGGCGCAAGCCUGAUGCAGCGACGCCGCGUGGGGGAUGACGGCCUUCGGGUUGUAAACUCCUUUCGCUAGGGACGAAGCUUUUUGUGACGGUACCUAGAUAAGAAGCACCGGCUAACUACGUG
rnacentral:rRNA from 1 species